AUUCCUCGAGUAAGGAGCUAUACUCUGCCAUGUUUUUGGAGCAAGAUAAUCUGGCCAGCCACAGGCUGUGGGGGAAGGCUGGUCCUUUCAAGGAGAGAGGUGCAAAAGGAUGUGAAAUUAUCAGGGAAGAUGCAAGGUGGCAAGCAUGACCUCAUGUCUGCUUUGGGAUCACAGAAACAGUGACCGAGGCAAGAGCUGAGAUGGUUUGCUCCAAGUGGCUGACUGACAAGAGACCAGGGGAACCUUCAGGGGGGCCAGAAGUGACAGGCAGCUUUGUCAACAAUGCUGGGAGAGAAAAAUGUGGCAUCUCUCUAGCAAGAACCUCUGAGCACACUGACCAGACCACAGCUGAGCACCCUGGAAUCCACCUGCCCUAGGAAAAGCUUCCAUCUUCCGAAAGCUAUGGAUCCCCACAAAUGAAUUAGUUACCGCGGGCACAGUGACACAGAGCACCCCCAGCAAAGACAACAGUUGGGCUUUGGAUCAAGAACACAGGGUCUGCAUAGCCCAGAGCUGGCACCGUUCCUGGGGUCUGGCCAAGAAGAAGUGACCACUGUCUUCCAACCCAGGAGCCAUGAGCUGCGUGGAAAGAAUGUGAAUGAAGACACCAGUCUAAAUGUAGAUUCAUGGGUGCUAUGUGAGCCA
rnacentral:lncRNA from 1 species